rnacentral:rRNA from 1 species
UGAUCAUGGCUCAGGACGAACGCUGGCGGCGCGCCUAACACAUGCAAGUCGAACGGAGCUGUUUUUCUCUGAAGUUUUCGGAUGGAAGAGAGUUCAGCUUAGUGGCGAACGGGUGAGUAACACGUGAGCAACCUGCCUUUCAGGUGGGGGACAACAUUUGGAAACGAAUGCUAAUACCGCAUAAGACCACAGUGUCGCAUGGCACAGGGGUCAAAGGAUUUAUCCGCUGAAAGAUGGGCUCG